rnacentral:rRNA from 1 species
AGAUUGAACGCUGGCGGCAUGCCUAACACAUGCAAGUCGAACGGGAGUAGCAAUACUCUAGUGGCGGACGGGUGAGGAAUACGUAGGAAUUUGCCCUUAAGUGGGGGAUAACCCGGGGAAACCCGGAUUAAUACCGCAUGACCUCGAAAGAGCAAAGUGGGGGAUCGCAAGACCUCACGCUUUUGGAGAAGCCUACGUCGGAUUAGCUAGUUGGUGAGGUAAUGGCUCACCAAGGCGACGAUCCGUAACUGGUCUGAGAGGAUGAUCAGUCACACCGGAACUGAGACACGGUCCGGACUCCUACGGGAGCAGCAGUGGGGAAUAGUUGGACAAGUGGGCG